GACCGCAUGGUCUAGUUUGGUCAUGACGCAUCCUUCACACCACGUGUCCUUCACACAGUAUGAGAACGGAUGAGGUCCUGGGUUCGAGCCCCAGUGCAGUCA